UACGUAGGGCGCAAGCGUCGUCCGGAAUUAUUGGGCGUAAAGAGCUCGUAGGCGGUUUGUCGCGUCUGCUGUGAAAACCUAAGGCUCAACCUUGGGCUUGCAGUGGGUACGGGCAGACUAGAGUGCGGUAGGGGUGACUGGAAUUCCUGGUGUAGCGGUGGAAUGCGCAGAUAUCAGGAGGAACACCGAUGGCGAAGGCAGGUCACUGGGCCGCAACUGACG
rnacentral:rRNA from 1 species